GGCCGCAAGGUUAAAACUCAAAUGAAUUGACGGGGGCCCGCACAAGCGGUGGAGCAUGUGGUUUAAUUCGAUGCAACGCGAAGAACCUUACCUGGUCUUGACAUCCACAGAACUUUCCAGAGAUGGAUUGGUGCCUUCGGGAACUGUGAGACAGGUGCUGCAUGGCUGUCGUCAGCUCGUGUUGUGAAAUGUUGGGUUAAGUCCCGCAACGAGCGCAACCCUUAUCCUUUGUUGCCAGCGAUUAGGUCGGGAACUCA
rnacentral:rRNA from 1 species